rnacentral:rRNA from 1 species
ACUGAAUCCAUAGGUUAAUGAGGCGAACCGGGGGAACUGAAACAUCUAAGUACCCCGAGGAAAAGAAAUCAACCGAGAUUCCCCCAGUAGCGGCGAGCGAACGGGGAGGAGCCCAGAGCCUGAAUCAGCAUGUGUGUUAGUGGAAGCGUCUGGAAAGGCGCGCGAUACAGGGUGACAGCCCCGUACACAAAAGCGCAUGUGCUGUGAGCUCGAUGAGUAGGGCGGGACACGUGGUAUCCUGUCUGAAUAUGGGGGGACCAUCCUCCAAGGCUAAAUACUCCUGACUGACCGAUAGUGAACCAGUACCGUGAGGGAAAGGCGAAAAGAACCCCGGCGAGGGGAGUGAAAAAGAACCUGAAACCGUGUACGUACAAGCAGUGGGAGCACAGGUUUACCUGUGUGACUGCGUACCUUUUGUAUAAUGGGUCAGCGACUUAUAUUCUGUAGCAAGGUUAACCGAAUAGGGGAGCCGGAGGGAAACCGAGUCUUAAUUGGGCGUUAAGUUGCAGGGUAUAGACCCGAAACCCGGUGAUCUAGCCAUGGGCAGGUUGAAGGUUGGGUAACACUAACUGGAGGACCGAACCGACUAAUGUUGAAAAAUUAGCGGAUGACCUGUGGCUGGGGGUGAAAGGCCAAUCAAACCGGGAGAUAGCUGGUUCUCCCCGAAAGCUAUUUAGGUAGCGCCUCGUGAAUUCAUCUCCGGGGGUAGAGCACUGUUUCGGCUAGGGGGCCAUCCCGGCUUACCAACCCGAUGCAAACUGCGAAUACCGGAGAAUGUUAUCACGGGAGACACACGGCGGGUGCUAACGUCCGUCGUGAAGAGGGAAACAACCCAGACCGCCAGCUAAGGUCCCAAAGUCAUGGUUAAGUGGGAAACGAUGUGGGAAGGCCCAGACAGCCAGGAUGUUGGCUUAGAAGCAGCCAUCAUUUAAAGAAAGCGUAAUAGCUCACUGGUCGAGUCGGCCUGCGCGGAAGAUGUAACGGGGCUAAACCAUGCACCGAAGCUGCGGCAGCGACGCUUAUGCGUUGUUGGGUA